UACGUAGGGUGCAAGCGUUAAUCGGAAUUACUGGGCGUAAAGCGUGCGCAGGCGGCUUUGCAAGACAGAUGUGAAAGCCCCGGGCUUAACCUGGGAAUGGCAUUUGGGACUGCAAGGCUGGAGUGUGGCAGAGGAGACUGGAAUUCCUGGUGUAGCAGUGAAAUGCGUAGAUAUCAGGAGGAACACCGAUGGCGAAGGCAGGUCUCUGGGCUGACACUGACGCUCAUGCACGAAAGCGUGGGGAGCAAACAGG
rnacentral:rRNA from 1 species